UGCAAAACAACUUCAGCUCUACGGAAAAAAAAGGGGAAAAAAAAAGAUUUUUUACUGGUAAAACGGAUUGCCGUAAUAUAAUCCAAACCGUGAACCGAUAAUCUCUAAAAGUUGGUAAAAAACUACGGAAUGCCGUUUAACCCACUUUUUUUUUUAGUCAACUAGGGUGUUGUCAACAUGUUACAAUAUAUAUACAAUAUAUUUAAAAUAUAUAUACAAUAUAUUUAAAAUAUAUAUACAAUAUAUUUACAAUAUAUAUACAAGCUUUAAGUGUAAAUAUAAAGCUUUAUAUUUACACUUUAGAAGUAUAAAAAUAUAUAAAGCUUUACAUUGGCAACACCCAACAUGCAACAUGGCAUUCGCUGCCUGGCGGCCAUUCAAAGAAAGCUUAUAUAAUGACUUCUACCAUUUUUGUUAGUCUUUUGGUUCCAUACUCUCGCAGAUGCAGUAUGUAAGUAUUCCAUUGGUCGAAUAGUUGUCUCUUUAUUUCCUCUGACUAGAUUUUCUACUUGGUAUGUAAAAGUCUACAAAUUGAUUUAGUUUAGCUUCUGACUAGAUCUGUAAAUGAAUCUUUAAAUUUCGCUUGUGUGAGUACAAAAAUACUAUUCACAACGUUGGUUGAAAUCUAUACUUGACAAGUUCAUUUACAAGAAUGUGGUUUCAAAUACGAUGUGCCCUGAUACCGUACGACACGUAAAUGUGUUCUGAUAAAAUAUUUUCCUUAUUAUUUUGGACUGCUAUGUCGGACAUCAGCGAGUUGUGAAUUGUAUUGUCGUGUCUACUCCUAGUCUGUGGUAUGUGUUAGGUAUGUCUGAUUAGAAUAUUGGUGUUGCACAUCUUGUGAUGGUGUACUUUAUCCCUUUUUAGUAUUGGUUACUUGUGUGGUAAACCCUUCAUGAAUUACAAGCUAUCUUUGAGCAUCAUAUUCAUUAAUCUUUUUGUAAGGUUUUCUUAUUUUAGGGUAUCUCAAAUUAAAGGAACUUAAUACUAAUCUCCCAAAAUUGAGACUCAAGUAUUGGGGUGGUGAGUUACAGACAUGGGUUUGAGUUAAUUGUUAACAAUUAGCAACCCAAGUUGAUCCCUUUUUUGUGUUGGUCACUCCUGUGGUAAACUCUUCAUGAAUUGCAAGUUUUAAUCCUUGAACAUCAAUGUCUUUUCUGCAAGGUUUUCUUCUUUUAGAGGAUCUCAAAUUAAAACAACUUCCUUUGAUUCUAAAAAAGUGAUUUUCAUUUACUAGAUAGGCUGGUGCUUUAAACCGGACUUCUUUUUUUGCAGAGUUCAUUGGUGUUGAAUCUUGGAUAGUUAUGGUGCAAUUCUUAGUAUUGCAGUGUUUAACAGGUUUUUCUGAUUUUGGAGGCUGCCAAAUUAAUAAGGUUAUCUUGGAUAAGUUGGGUAUGUCUUGGACAGGUCAACAACAGGAAGUUUGUUAGAGCCUGCUUUUGCUUCACUGCUUUUGAUCUCAUGAAGUACAUGACUUUGGUUAGAUAGUUUAAUUUAAUAAAGGAUCUUUCUACUUGCGCCUGUUUGCUAUGGUGCAUGUGAUUCGAUCACGUCAGAAAGUUUGGGUGUUAAUGGCGAUACGUUUUUCUUAGCUUCGAAUAUUGGGCAUCUGCAAGGUGGGAAUUGUUUGUUAUUUUAUUUCAUCAUAUUCUAUUCCUACUUUAGAUAUUCUCCAUAACUGAAGAACUGAAAUUACAUGGACGAAUUUUGUUUAUGUAUUUACUUCUCCGACAAAUUUUCUGGUUAAGACAUAGUAAAAUCAGUUGACGAGGUUACUCCCACCGUAUGUUUAAAAUACACCAAUCAAAAUAUGGCAAAGUGCUCUUAAAUCUCGUGCUUAAUUUCAUGGAUAUUUGUUAGAAACGAAAUUUGCUAGGUCAAAAAACACCAUUGACAAGAUUGAUGGUGAAUCCAAACAGGAAGUUGCCAUUUCGGUGGGAAAGAAACAUUGAUGCAAGUUAAAAGGGUGUCCGAAGUUUUCUCCUUGCUUUUUUUUUUCACAUCUGUGGUAUU